UACGGAGGGUGCGAGCGUUGUUCGGAAUUAUUGGGCGUAAAGCGCACGUAGGCGGCCCGUUAAGUCUCUUGGUGAAAGGCCGGGGCUCAACCCCGAGCAUGCCGGGGAUACUGGGGGGCUGGAGACAGGCAGAGGCCAGCGGAAUUCCGGGUGUAGCGGUGGAAUGCGUAGAGAUCCGGAAGAACACCGGAGGCGAAGGCGGCUGGCUGGGCCUGAUCUGACGCUGAGGUGCGAAAGCGUGGGGAGCGAACAGGAUUAGAAACCCCCGUAGUCC
rnacentral:rRNA from 1 species